rnacentral:rRNA from 1 species
CUUUCGAUGGUAGUGUAUUGGACUACCAUGGCUCUCACGGGUAACAGGGAAUUAGGGUUCGAUUCUGGAGAAGGAGCCUGAGAAACGGCUACUACAUCUACGGAAGGCAGCAGGCGCGUAAAUUACCCAAUCCUGACUCAGGGAGGUGGUGACAAGAUAUAACAACGCGAUAUUAUCGCGAUUGUAGUGAGGGUAUUCUAAACAGAACCUAUAGUACGAUUAGAGGGCAAGUCUGGUGCCAGCAGCCGCGGUAAUUCCAGCUCUAAUAGCGUAUAUUAAAGUUGCUGCAGUUAAAAAGCUCGUAGUUGGAUUUCAAGGACUGUAAACCCUCCUGGGAAUACAUCCUACUAGUCUCCGGACUGUUACUGUGAGAAAAUUAGAGUGUUUCAAGCAGGCUUUCGCAAGAAUACAUUAGCAUGGAAUAACGAAUGUAUUUAGAAUCUUGGUUAAUUCUAAAUUACGGUUAAUAGAGACAGUUGGGGGCAUUAGUAUUUAAUUGUCAGAGGUGAAAUUCUUGGAUUUGUUAAAGACUAACGUAUGCGAAAGCAUUUGCCAA